rnacentral:rRNA from 1 species
CCUACGGGUGGCAGCAGUAGGGAAUCUUUCACAAUGGGCGAAAGCCUGAUGGAGCAACGCCGCGUGCAGGAUGAAGGCCUUCGGGUUGUAAACUGCUUUUAUAAGCGAGAAAUAUGAUGGUAACUUAUGAAUAAGGAUCGGCUAACUACGUGCCAGCAGCCGCGGUCAUACGUAGGAUCCGAGCAUUAUCCGGAGUGACUGGGUGUAAAGAGUUGCGUAGGUGGCAUAAUAAGUAGCUAGUGAAAUCUGGUGGCUCAACCAUUCAGACUAUUAGCUAAACUUUUAAGCUCGAGACCGUUAGGGGUAACUGGAAUUUCUAGUGUAGGAGUGAAAUCCGUAGAGAUUAGAAGGAACACCAAUAGCGUAGGCAGGUUGCUGGGACGGUUCUGACACUAAGGCACGAAAGCGUAGGGAGCAAACGGGAUUAGAUACCCGAGUAGUC